rnacentral:rRNA from 1 species
UACGUAGGGGGCGUAGCGUUAUUCCGGAUUUACUGGGCGUAAAGGGUGCGUAGGUGGUUUCUUAAGUCAGAGGUGAAAGGCUACGGCUCAACCGUAGUAAGCCUUUGAAACUGGGAAACUUGAGUGCAGGAGAGGAGAGUGGAAUUCCUAGUGUAGCGGUGAAAUGCGUAGAUAUUAGGAGGAACACCAGUUGCGAAGGCGGCUCUCUGGACUGUAACUGACACUGAGGCACGAAAGCGUGGGGAGCAAACAGGAUUAGAUACCCCGGUAGUCCCUGAGCGGGCU